GGCGGCAUGCCUAACACAUGCAAGUCGAACGCGUGGCUUCGGCCACGAGUGGCGCACGGGUGAGUAGCGCGUGGGAACCUGCCCUUGGGUUCGGGAUAACCGCGGGAAACUGCGGCUAAUACCGGAUGUCCCCUACGGGGGAAAGAUUUAUCGCCCAAGGAGGGGCCCGCGUCCGAUUAGGUAGUUGGUGAGGUAACGGCUCACCAAGCCUUCGAUCGGUAGCUGGUCUGAGAGGAUGAUCAGCCACACUGGGACUGAGACACGGCCCAGACUCCUACGGGAGGCAGCAGUGGGGAAUAUUGGACAAUGGGGGAAACCCUGAUCCAGCAAUGCCGCGUGAGUGAUGAAGGCCUUCGGGUUGUAAAGCUCUUUCGCCCACGACGGUGGUGACGGUAUUGGGANAAGAAGCCCCGGUUAACUUCGUGCCAGCAGCCGCGGUAAUACGAAGGGGGCUAGCGUUGUUCGGAGUUACUGGGCGUAAAGGGCGCGUANGCGGGCGGUCAAGUCGGGUGUGAAAGCCCGGGGCUCAACCCCGGAUGUGCAUUCGA
rnacentral:rRNA from 1 species